rnacentral:snRNA from 1 species
ACAGGUGAGGGUGAUCUAGCUCUUGUCACCCCACUGAUCACCAGGGUUGAUUUGGCUGAUCUGGCUGGCUUGGCAGACGUUCCCUUCCUCCUUCACCACUCCGUGUCCCCUUCCAAAGCUGGUGCUCAGUGGAAGAGAAUGCCCCUCCCCAAUAGAGAAGAACUGCUCUUUAGUCAAGUGUAUACCAGUAGCUGCACUCCCCUGCUAGAACCUCCAAACUCAAAGGACAGAGAAACCAACCAGCUGUGCUGAGUGCUACAAGCUGGGCUGGUCUAGGAGGAUGAGGCCUGGGAAGUCCCCAUGGAUUUUACAAGGAGCUUGCUGAUUGUCUUG